GACGCAUUAGAAAUAUGACUCACCAGCAGAGGAAAUACUGAGGAAAAAGGAGCAAAAUGAUUGGUGACUCAUCCUGCACUGCACAGGUUUCUAUUCAAUCAGGUGCUUUCUAGAGUGAGAAUGACCCUCACCCCCCUUUCCACCUGCUGUCAUCUAACGAGUCUUCAAACUCUCUACAUCAGUGUGAAUGGAUGCACGCAGGACAGAUCUUCUGUUUGGUGUGUUUAUAUGGGGCUGAAGACAAGAAGGUGUGCAGAAGCCAUGAUGCUCAGCACUGGGACGAAGCUCCAGGAGAUUCACAGCGACAGCUGCCCAUCAGAGAGCAGACCGACACACUCGCUCGUCUAAUGUUCGGACAGGUACAAGACCUGCAAGGUCAUCGCUAGUACUGACAUGUUUCCCGGACACGCCU